UCUAGACUUUCUAUUUAAAACACGUUUACUUGAAUUGCAAGCAGACAUAUAUCAAUCUGUCAUUGUAUAAAGGAAGACAAGACCAUAUAAAUAAGAACCUCGUCAAACAGUUUCCGCUGCUAGUAAUGACCACUCCAAAUUUUUCUUUCCGCUGGAGAAUUCAUUCAUUAAAACAAAAAACCACCUUUCCAAUCUUGUUUGAGAAGAACCAACAGAUCUCAUUAUGGGUUUGAAGUUCUAGCACUUUUACUGCUGUGUUCUUUUUUUCAUUUUCCAUCGUGGAUGUCAACGAAGAAUUGAUGAUGUUACAUUAAUGCACAACUCUUUUAAACUCGCUGUUUAUGCAGUGUCUUUUCAAAAACGUUUUGAGAAUACUGAAUAUUAUAUAGUGAAAAGCAACUCGAGUCAUUGCUGUAAACUGUAUCACAAAACCAACAUGUUUUACCUAUUGAAGCAAAUGCAUAUCUUUUUGCAUAAAAACAGAAUUAUUUUCUUUAUCAUUGCGUAGUGAAUUGCAGCUCGAUUUAUCGUGGUAAAUUAUAGCGAGAACCAACAUGUUUUACCUAUUGGAGCCAAUGCAUAAUGAAUGGAAAAAUAAGUGCAAUGUCAUGCCACACAAAUAUAUCUCACCUCCUCGAAUCCCUGGGUCGCAUUGACGCGGAUUUUAAGCUAAUAUGAAAAGCUUUUCACAAGUGUAGGUCAUGCACCGGUUAUGAAAUUAUACAGUGCGAAAGGCAAAAGCGAUAGAGAAGGAAUUAAAGCAAGAUUAAACAUGAAAAUAAGAGAUAAAAGGUAUUUUAGAUUACUAGAAUGGCUUUCGUUCAAGUACAGUUCCGUUGGAUAACCUUUGGACACUAUUAGUACGUUAUAGCUAUUUUGCUAGCCUGAUAUUUCACCUCAAGAUGAACAGAUAGAAGCCAGUUUACGAUUCUCUUCCUUGAAUAUUGUUUCUUUCUUCGCCUGUAGUUGCUCGAGAUAAUAGGGAUAGUAUAGCAUUGCACCUCACCUAUUUUCCUUUCGUAUUUAAUUUUUUUUAAAUUUUCUUGCGCUUCGGAGUCGCACAUCUUCAAAAGAAAAGAAAAAAGAAAAAGAAAGAAAGAAAAGAAAAAAGAAAAAACCCUCAAAUUUUUUUUAACCCCUUAAACUGUACUACCACUACACCACCCUUGAUUCACUCAUGUAUGUGAUGUUGAGUCUAGGAAUCACACCCUAGACCCCAGAGGUGAGAGGUGAGUGCACUACCACUACACCACCCUUGAUUCACUAAUGUAUGUGAUGUUGAGUCUAGGAAUCACAC